CCUUUCUGCAUUGCUUGCAUAAUUUUACUUUCCUUGGCCUAUCACUUACUAUGAAGGCUAAAAUUCAUAUGUAUUUUAGUUUAAGUAAAACAAAUUUCUAACAAGCUUCUAUAAAAGGUCAGAAUCAAACACGAGGCCAAGUUGACCUCUGUAAGCAAUGGGUCUUCAGCAUUGCUGUUUUGUUGGUCACUGGUGAUGUGCUCAGCUCCUACCAACAGUACACAGUACUUAAAUUCAGACACAUGAACGGACAAUGCAAAUACACUCAUUUUACUUGUCAGCAUUGGUAGGGAUAGAACUGACCUAGAGGGCAUUUUGGAAAGUGGCAGGCGUAUUUUCCAGGAAGUCUGCCAUUUAGAGAAAAGUGAUUUGAAGCAGCGCUUUCUUCUGCUAUUACUGUCAGUUCGCUGAGUCUUUUAUUAACAGCUUUUCAUCUUACCUGAGGUUUUUUUGGUAUUGACAGUUGCUGAGGCCUGGAGCAUACAUAGUGCAUGUCAGAAUUUUUCUGGAGAGAGAACUUCGCAGCACUGACAGCCUGAAACAAAAGCGGAUUAGUAGCAACAGCACACAUCUCGAAGGAUCCAGUGACAGUAGACACCGAGCAGCAAGCUGCUGAAUGAUUCUCAUGACCAGAUAUUAACUCGGGGCUGUACUUCUGUACAGAGCACUUUUUAAACCAUGCAGUCCAGGGAAAAACUACUGUAGUAUCUUUACCCUGAGAGACAAUCACAGAAGUGCUCCUAAAAUUUAUAAGCACACUAUUACUUGGCUGCAGUGGAAAGUGAGCUGGUGGCAAGAACAUCAGAGGAAGCUCUUGUUGUGAAAAGCAACAGACAAUAAUUAAGGUGGGUGCAAGAAACACGUGCCCCGUGGAAGACUUGGUGCAGAAUACAUCACAGUGUGUCCUGGAAUCAGGUCAUUUGCUUUUUCAGACACAUUAAACCUGCUGAUGCCACCCUCUUGUUGCUGGAUACAGCUAUAACUACCAGAAAUGGCGGUAAGUCAUGGCGACGCACCAUAGGUCUAAUUAAUUUGCGUAACUAGAACUGGAAGAUGCCUGAAACAAAAUACAAAGUAUUAAAACUAUGUUAAGAGAGAGAGUGCUAGCCUCAAGGUAUGCUGAUGUUACCCCCAAAGGGAGCUGGGCAGUAGCUAACACCCCACCUCUGUUCAGGUGCCACCUCCACUUGCCUGUAUGGCUCCGAGGUUCUCUAUCAGCUGCUCCGGGUUAGAAGAUCCUAGAAGAACGGAGCUCACCCCCUCAUUUCUCAGGCACCAUGCUGGGAAUAAAGUCACAAGAUGGUCAUCAAAGAUGGCCAGGGACAUAGGCUUCACCAUACACAUUAGCCCAGAUCCUAAGGUUUGUCAGAGCUUCUAUCUCUAUUUGAAAAAUAAUGACAACAUUAUUUGUCUCAAACUUCACUUUGCUCCUCCAGUACUACCAGGAAGAAGAUGCAUGGAUCAGAUAAGCUACAUAGCACAUCUUCCAGCAUCCCGCUUGACCCUGGUCCCUGGGCCAGCAGUGGUCAUAACUGUGGGGUUUGGGUUUUUCUUAUCACAAAUCACAGGGAUUCACCUCUUGGCUAUUUGAACCAGGGAUCGUUUUUCUAACAAACACUUGUGGUAUUUUUCCGCCUUGGC